UUUCCGUAGGUGAACCAGCGGAAGGAUCAUUAUCGUACAAAAUAUGAGGGACAUGCUAGUGCUGUCUCUUACCCAAAGGUCGUGCACGCCCGAGUGUGUCCUCUUGCAUAAUACUUCAUCUCACCCUUUGUGCGUCCCCGCGUGUACACCCGUGGGGAUCAUCUCGGCGGUUGACUCUCGUUUUCACGCAAACCCCCCUUUUAGAAGUGUAGAAGAACCACAUUUAUCCAAUCAAUACAACUUUCAACAACGGAUCUCAUGCAUCUCGCAUCGAUGCAG
rnacentral:misc_RNA from 1 species